rnacentral:rRNA from 1 species
GGGGAAUUUUGCGCAAUGGGGGAAACCCUGACGCAGCAACGCCGCGUGCGGGACGAAGGCCUUCGGGUUGUAAACCGCUUUCAGCAGGGAAGACCUUGACGGUACCUGCAGAAGAAGCCCCGGCUAACUACGUGCCAGCAGCCGCGGUAAUACGUAGGGGGCGAGCGUUAUCCGGAUUCAUUGGGCGUAAAGCGCGCGCAGGCGGCCGAUCAAGCGGAACCUCUAAUCCCGGGGCUCAACCCCGCGGCCGGGUUCCGAACUGGUCGGCUCGAGUUCGGUAGAGGAGGGUGGAAUUCCCGGUGUAGCGGUGGAAUGCGCAGAUAUCGGGAAGAACACCGAUGGCGAAGGCAGCCCUCUGGGCCGACACUGACGCUGAGGCGCGAAAGCUGGGGGAGCGAAC